AGCAAAAACCGAACCAAACCAAAAAACCGAGCCAAACCGAACCAAAAAAUCCGAACCGAAAAAAUAUGUGGUUAAAAUGGUUUGAUUUGGUUUAAAAUUUAUAAAUACUACGGUUUUCGGUUUCGGUUUGAAUUUAAGGUUCGGUCACCGAACCGAACCGAAAAACCGAAAUAGUAAUAAGGGUUGUUUUUGUAAUUUACACACUAUCCUAUAUAUACACUCUUAAUAACCAAGAAACCCUAAUUUUUCUUAGCUGUGCCGCCUCAACCCUUCUCACUCACCAAACUUUCACCCAUUUCCCCAUUUCUCUUAGUUUCUUUCCCCAUUUCUCCAUCUAUUUGCUUUACCUAAAUCUAAAUCAAGUCAAAAACCCUAAUAUGUCUCCUCCAUCUCUAACUUAUUCUUACUGAGGUGCUUACCACCAUAAAAAAAGGGCACAAAAGGCUCAUCACUGUCAAAUAUCUCUGCUUCAAACGUGAAACAUCGCUUUAACGGCCACGAGUGUCUCCAUCGGCUGCAAUCAACGGCUACAAUAAAGUUUUGGUUAAUGUUUUGGUUUUUUUCAAGGAGUAGAAAAAUCCAAGCUUAUAUUGAAAUUAGCCUAAGAGAAAUCUCAGAUUAUGUUGUAAUUGGUGAUUUUUGUUGAUUUGUUAUUUUAGAUUUAGAUGAUGACUAAUAUGUAAAAUUGUUAAUAUUAUGAAACCAUAUUCAUCAUUUGUAUAAUUAUAUUAUCUGAAGUUCAAUUGAAAAAAAUUGUGUUUUA